UUGGAAAUGAAAGCUCUCACAGGCUGUGCAGUGUCUGCACUUACCAGUUACAAGUGGCUCAACCAUUUCUCUUCUCUCUCUAAAAUUAUCACACUGCCCUAUACAUCCAUACAUACACUCACACACACUCUCCGUUAACGUAUCUCACUCUAAGAUUUGCUUUGUCCUCACUCCCGGAAUCGGAUCUGAAGGAACUGAAGAGUAAAGGCGGUUGUUGUACAUAUAUGUUCGAUGUUUGUGCAGGGUUUAGAGAAUUAGAUAUUGAUCUGCUCAGGUUUUGGUGGUUAUGGAGGAGAUUUAGGGAUCCUGAUUGUUUAAGAUUUGUUUCUUAGUGUUUUGGAGCUGGCAGUCCUUUUCCAUUUUUGAUUUUUGUUCGAAGAGUUUGUUGUAGAUGUAAUUUAGAGCAAGUGGAUAGGAGAAAAGUGAAAAAAGCUGAACUGAGUUGACUCGCUGAGGGUUGAUUGAUAUGGAGACUCUAGUUGUUGUUGCUCAUCACAGGAACCACCAUCAGUAUUAUGGUAGGAACCGUAGCCAUGGUCCGACUAAAUUUGAUUCGUUUGGAUCCUCGCCUUCGGGAAAUUUGCCAGGAAUUAAUUGCAGGUCAUUUCAAUCUGGAGCUGCUGGGUUACUACCAACCCCAUCGAAAGAUUUCUCCGCACCCGUUACUAAAAAUGCCUUUUCUUCACUUUCGCCCAGAACUCCAUCUCUGUCUGUUAACGAAAACCAUAAAUUCUCAAAAAGAAGUGCUAAAAGCAUUACUAGUCCAAUCCCAAUUAAGAUCAGUUUUGAAAGCAAGGAGGAGGAAUCCCAUUUCUCUGAGCGCUGGGCUGGGCCUGCUUAUUCAAACUCUCCUCCCCCGAGUUCUUUGCCAUUGCCUAAGUUCUUCAUGAGGCCUAAAAGAACUGUUUCCCUUGAUUUGCCUACUUUAGCCUCAGAAAUUGAUCUGCAUCCCAUUGCAAAAUCUGCACCUGCUUCUCCAACAAGAGGGCGCAGCUCUUUCCCCAUUGAUUGGUUUGAUAGUGCUGACUCUGCAACAAGGACCCUUCGACGGAUCCUCAAUCUUGAAAUUACUGAUGAAUAAAGGAGUACUAGGUGUGUUUUAGUGCUCCUGUAGAUAUGGUAAUUUGUCUAAUUUGAGGUGUGGGUUAGUGGUAAAGUGUAUAUAACAAAUAAGAGUGGCCCGUGGGGCAGCUUGUUUAUUAGGUAACUUAAUAUGUUCUGAAGUAGUGGCGUGCAAGCACUGUGAUGGCUGUGUGAUCGACUUUCUCCAAAGUCUCUGGACGUAAAUAGUUUGGUUGGGCAUAGCGAAUGUGGUUUGGUUGCUCAGAAGUGAAUUGUGAAGGCAAAGUUAGUGGAAGGCAGGGAUACAUUGAUAAGCAGCUGGUGGUAUGGUAAUGGUAGAAUUAAGAUGAUUUCUGAAUUGGUUAAUCAAUGGCAGAUUUCAGCUUGGAGAAGAUGCUCCAUGCUGUUGGGUUAGCAAUUAAGCUCUCCGAAAAUAUCUUCUUCUCCUGGUUGUUGUUAUUGCUUCCCUCUUUUACCCUUAUAGUUAGUUUUUCUCGGCUGUAUAUACUGUAGAAGAAUCAUAACUCGGUCGUUAUAGUAGGUUUUUAUUUUCUCCUACCCUCCUUGGCGCAUUCUACUCUGUUACUAGCCUUGAUAUUCAUCUUAGUUUCCAUAAUUUCCUGUUUUCGUAGUCAAAUAGGCAAGUUGGUUUCCAGAAAUCUAAAUCUGUUUAUCUCAUUCCCUCGUACCAUGUCCUCAUUUGUCUAUAUUGUUGUUUUUGUCUUCUUUUGAAAUAGUUGCUGACUGUAAUAUCUUUGCUGUGCACAGAGCUCGUUGCCCUUAACCAUAUUUUCUGGUUUUUAGAAAGAAAAUUGGGAAGGGAAUAGAAAUAGGUUAUCUUUCUGCUCUCAGUGCUCAGGCUCGGUACAUUACCAUUUCGAUUGCCUAGUACUCUCUGUCGAAUGUGGGUUACAUGAUAAUCGUUCUGCUGUUAGUGCCUAGUUUUGAUCCUGCUGUUAGUGCCUAGUUUUGAUCCAUUCCAUCUCUUAAGCUUUGCCUACAUCCCUUCUCUUUCGAUCAAGAUACAUCACCUAAUCUUCUUCUAAAGUUUCAUUUGUCAUUGGAGAGUCUUGAUCACUUCAAGCUAUUUACAGUGGUUGUACGAGUAGCUGAUGGAGGAUGAUACUUGAAGAGAUUGUGUCGGCAUCUCAUCUAGUAGUCAUUGGGUAUUCUACUGUUGUCUAUGUUGGAUUACCAUGGAGCAAUUAUGGCUUGUGUAUUAGGUCUUUGUUUUUGAGUGUCAUCAGUGAGUAUUAUGCAUUGUGUGUUUGGUCUUUUGUUUCUGAAUGUAGUGACUGGUGAGAACCGUCUUUAUUUGCUCAUGUGUCUGUAGUUUCUAUAAUCUCCACUUUGAUGUUUUCCAUUAUCCCGGUGUUAAUGACUUUAAUGAGGCAUCCG